CAGCCGUAAACUAUGCGCGUUAGGUGUACUGGUGACCACGAGUCACCGGGGUGCCGAAGGGAAACCGUGAAACGUGCCGCCUGGGAAGUACGGUCGCAAGGCUGAAACUUAAAGGAAUUGGCGGGGGGAGCACCACAACGGGUGGAGCCUGCGGUUUAAUUGGAUUCAACACCGUAAAACUCACCAGGGAAGACUGUUACAUGAAAGCCGAGAUGAAGACUCUGCUAGAUUUUCAGAGAGGUGGUGCAUGGCGUCAGUGACU
rnacentral:rRNA from 1 species